UACGGAAGGCAGCAGUGGGGAAUAUUGCACAAUGGGCGAAAGCCUGAUGCAGCUAUGCCGCGUGUAUGAAGAAGGCCUUAGGGUUGUAAAGUACUUUCAUCGGGGAGGAAAAAACAAAACUAAUAAUUUUAUUUCUUGACGUUACCCGAAAAAGAAGCACCGGCUAACUCCGUGCCAGCAGCCGCGGUAAUACGGAGGGUGCUAGCGUUAAUCAGAAUUACUGGGCGUAAAGAGCACGUAGGUGGUUUUUUUAAAGUCAGAUGUGAAAUCCCUGGGCUUUAACCUAGGAACUGCAUUUUGAAACUGAAAUACUAGAGUAUCGUAGAGGGAGGUAGAAUUCUAGGUGUAGCGGUGAAAUGCGUAGAUAUCUGGAGGAAUACCUGUGGCGAAAGCGGCCUCCUAAACGAAUACUGACACUGAGGGUGCGAAAGCGUGGGGAGCAAAACAGGGAUUAGAUACC
rnacentral:rRNA from 1 species